rnacentral:rRNA from 1 species
GGCGAACGGGUGAGUAACACGUGAGUAACCUGCCCCCGACUUCGGGAUAAGCCCGGGAAACUGGGUCUAAUACCGGAUAUGACGACCGAAGGCAUCUUUGGUUGUGGAAAGUUUUUUCGGUUGGGGAUGGGCUCGCGGCCUAUCAGUUUGUUGGUGAGGUAAUGGCUCACCAAGACGACGACGGGUAGCCGGCCUGAGAGGGCGACCGGCCACACUGGGACUGAGACACGGCCCAGACUCCUACGGGAGGCAGCAGUGGGGAAUAUUGCACAAUGGGGGAAACCCUGAUGCAGCGACGCAGCGUGCGGGAUGACGGCCUUCGGGUUGUAAACCGCUUUCAGCAGGGAAGAAGCCUUUCGGGGUGACGGUACCUGCAGAAGAAGUACCGGCUAACUACGUGCCAGCAGCCGCGGUAAUACGUAGGGUACAAGCGUUGUCCGGAAUUAUUGGGCGUAAAGAGCUCGUAGGUGGUUGGUCACGUCUGCUGUGGAAACGCAACGCUUAACGUUGCGCGUGCAGUGGGUACGGGCUGACUAGAGUGCAGUAGGGGAGUCUGGAAUUCCUGGUGUAGCGGUGAAAUGCGCAGAUAUCAGGAGGAACACCGGUGGCGAAGGCGGGACUCUGGGCUGUAACUGACACUGAGGAGCGAAAGCAUGGGGAGCGAACAGGAUUAGAUACCCUGGUAGUCCAUGCCGUAAACGUUGGGCACUAGGUGUGGGGGACAUUCCACGUUCUCCGCGCCGUAGCUAACGCAUUAAGUGCCCCGCCU